UGCGCAGGCGGAUCAAUAAGUCAGUGGUGAAAUACUCCGGCUCAACCGGGGAACUGCCAUUGAUACUGUUGAUCUAGAGUACAGUUGGGGUAGGCGGAAUGUGUCAUGUAGCGGUGAAAUGCUUAGAUAUGACACAGAACACCGAUCGCGAAGGCAGCUUACCAAGCUGUAACUGACGCUGAGGCACGAAAGCGUGGGGAGCAAACAGGAUUAGAUACCCUGGUAGUCC
rnacentral:rRNA from 1 species